rnacentral:rRNA from 1 species
GACGAACGCUGGCGGCGCGCCUAACACAUGCAAGUCGAACGAGCGAGAGAGAGCUUGCUUUCUCGAGCGAGUGGCGAACGGGUGAGUAACGCGUGAGGAACCUGCCUCAAAGAGGGGGACAACAGUUGGAAACGACUGCUAAUACCGCAUAAGCCCACAGCUCGGCAUCGAGCAGAGGGAAAAGGAGCAAUCCGCUUUGAGAUGGCCUCGCGUCCGAUUAGCUAGUUGGUGAGGUAAUGGCCCACCAAGGCGACGAUCGGUAGCCGGACUGAGAGGUUGAACGGCCACAUUGGGACUGAGACACGGCCCAGACUCCUACGGGAGGCAGCAGUGGGGAAUAUUGCACAAUGGGGGAAACCCUGAUGCAGCGACGCCGCGUGGAGGAAGAAGGUCUUCGGAUUGUAAACUCCUGUUGUUGAGGAAGAUAAUGACGGUACUCAACAAGGAAGUGACGGCUAACUACGUGCCAGCAGCCGCGGUAAAACGUAGGUCACAAGCGUUGUCCGGAAUUACUGGGUGUAAAGGGAGCGCAGGCGGGAAGACAAGUUGGAAGUGAAAUCUAUGGGCUCAACCCAUAAACUGCUUUCAAAACUGUUUUUCUUGAGUAGUGCAGAGGUAGGCGGAAUUCCCGGUGUAGCGGUGGAAUGCGUAGAUAUCGGGAGGAACACCAGUGGCGAAGGCGGCCUACUGGGCACCAACUGACGCUGAGGCUCGAAAGUGUGGGUAGCAAACAGGAUUAGAUACCCUGGUAGUCCACACCGUAAACGAUGAUUACUAGGUGUUGGAGGAUUGACCCCUUCAGUGCCGCAGUUAACACAAUAAGUAAUCCACCUGGGGAGUACGACCGCAAGGUUGAAACUCAAAGGAAUUGACGGGGGCCCGCACAAGCAGUGGAGUAUGUGGUUUAAUUCGACGCAACGCGAAGAACCUUACCAAGUCUUGACAUCCUGCGACGCACAUAGAAAUAUGUGUUUCCUUCGGGACGCAGAGACAGGUGGUGCAUGGUUGUCGUCAGCUCGUGUCGUGAGAUGUUGGGUUAAGUCCCGCAACGAGCGCAACCCUUACUGUCAGUUACUACGCAAGAGGACUCUGGCAGGACUGCCGUUGACAAAACGGAGGAAGGUGGGGAUGACGUCAAAUCAUCAUGCCCUUUAUGACUUGGGCUACACACGUACUACAAUGGCGUUAAACAAAGAGAAGCAAGACCGCGAGGUGGAGCAAAACUCAGAAACAACGUCCCAGUUCGGACUGCAGGCUGCAACUCGCCUGCACGAAGUCGGAAUUGCUAGUAAUCGUGGAUCAGCAUGCCACGGUGAAUACGUUCCCGGGCCU